UAUUCAAUUCUAAACAAGCUAUCUAUGUAUGAAAAUUGGCAGACUAUAGCUAAGGGUAGUAGUUUAGUUGCCGUAAAUCAUCCUGCCAUCUUUUACAUUUUCUGCCUCGUAUAUGCAAUAACAGUGCAACCUCUAUACAGAACUGGUCUUCUACAAAUGCCUUGCCAUCAAAACGAAUGCAGUUUCUGUCCCUCCAUAUCAGUGCUACAGCAUUCACAAAGGCAGAAGCAGUGAUUGCUUUAUGCCAUAGUUUGCUCCUAGCUUUGCUACAGAUCCAUUGAAGUUCAUCUUCCCAUUUGCCAACUGUUCUUUUGUAUCCCAACCAGCAGCAUAUUCUAGUCCAUACUCGAUUGGUGAUUUGGCAAUCAAAGUACAAGUGCUCAAAGUUCUCAGCAUGCUGCUU
rnacentral:lncRNA from 1 species